UCCGGCCAUACCAUGCUGAAUAUACCGGUUCUCGUUAGAUCACCGAAGUCAAGCAUCAUUGGGCGCGGUCAGUACUUGGGUGGGUGACCACCUGGGAACACCGCGUGCCGUU
rnacentral:rRNA from 1 species